rnacentral:rRNA from 1 species
UACAGAGGUGCCGAGCGUUAGGCGGAAUCACUGGGCUUAAAGCGUGUGUAGGCGGACUUCUAAGUACCUUGUGAAAUCCCACGGCUCACCCGUGGAACUGCUGGGUAUACUGGUUGUCUUGAGCCAGCUAGGGGCGAGCGGAACAGACGGUGGAGCGGUGAAAUGCGUAGAUAUCGUCUGGAACGCCGAAGGUGAAAACAGCUCGCUGGGGCUGCGCUGACGCUGAGACACGAAAGCCAGGGGAGCGAACGGG